UAACCGUUGGUGUGUUGAGCUUAGCAUGUUAGCGAACUGAAGAUGCUUUUGUCAGCAGUUUGUGACGGAUUAUAUUAUUAUUAUUUAUCGUCAUCCGGCGCGCGAAGAUAAACAGAGCGGCGGCGCCUGGUCGAUAAACUCUUGAGUGAUGGGCGUUUCGCUGAAGCUCCGCCCGUCGCUCCAACUUGUGGAUCUGAUUCGGAUUAGGAGAAGCGGGCGGAGGGUCACACGACCUGCUACACGUGUUCACAGAGCGAAACUCCGACGGGGAACCCUCGUUAUUCAAAGUAGUUCUACUUUGUUAUGCUUGUGCCUAAACGGGACCAUUAUUUCUCGCUCUAAUUCGGAAGGUUUGAGGCCCGACCAGCCGCUCAAAAGUAUGUUUUUAUGCUUUUAAUGUCGUGGAAUGCCGCUUCACCCGCGAGAGACGGUGAAUCACGGAGGUUCGGAGUGACUGAAGGACGCGUUUCAUGAGUGAGACAUGAGUGAGAAAGCAGCGCUUGAGAGCAAUGACGCGAACCAGAACCGUGGCCAGCUGGAGACGGCGGUGCCCGAGCUGGCGGGUCACGGCAGGGCUCAGGAGACCGCUCUGUACCGGCGACGCUGGAUGAUCGUCCUGCUCUUCAGCUCGUACUCCCUCAGCAACUCCUUCCAGUGGAUCCAGUACGGCAUUAUCAGCAACAUCUUCAUGAAGUUCUACAGCGUGGACGCCUUCACCAUCAACUGGAUGUCCAUGAUCUACAUGCUGACCUACAUUCCCUUCAUAUUCCCGGUGACCUGGCUGCUGGACAGGAAGGGUCUGCGGGUGAUCGCCAUCGCGGGCACCGCGCUCAACUGCGCCGGCACGUGGGUGAAGGUGGCCAGUGUCAAACCCAACCUGUUCUUCGUCUCCUUCCUCGGCCAGUUCUGCUGCUCCUGCGCGCAGGUCUUCAUCCUGGGCCUGCCCUCCAAGAUCGCCUCGGUGUGGUUCGGCUCCGAGGAAGUGUCCACCGCCUGCUCCAUCGGAGUGUUUGGGAACCAGUUGGGCAUCGCCAUCGGCUUCCUCGUGCCUCCCAUCCUGGUGCCCAACGUAGACGACAUGGAUGAGCUGGCUCAUCACAUCAGCAUCAUGUUCUACAUCACAGCAGGGGUGGCGACUUUCCUCUUCAUCGUUGUCGUCUUCGUGUUCCAGGAGCGACCCAAGCUUCCUCCCACUCAGGCCCAGGCCACGGCUCGGAGUAUCCCUCCGGAGCAGUACUCCUACACGGCCUCCAUCUGCAGGCUACUGCGGAACAAGCCAUUCAUUCUCCUCGUCAUCUCGUAUGGCUUGAAUGUUGGUUGUUUCUAUGCUGUGGGCACCUUGCUGAACCAAAUGAUUAUCGAGCAUUAUCCAAAUGAAGAAGUGAACGCUGGGAGAAUCGGCCUCACCAUCGUCAUCGCUGGGAUGGUCGGCUCGCUCAUUUGUGGCAUUUGGCUGGACAGAACCAAAACAUACAAGCAGACCACCCUGGCUAUUUACUGCAUGACCCUGGUGGGGAUGAUCAUCUACGCUGCCACACUCAGUCUCGGUCACCUCUGGGUGGUUUUCAUCACGGCUGGAUCUCUCGGCUUCUUCAUGACAGGAUACUUGCCUCUUGGAUUUGAGUUUGCUGUGGAGCUGACGUAUCCAGAGUCAGAAGGGACUUCCUCCGGCCUCCUGAACUGUUCGGCACAGGUGUUCGGCAUUAUAUUCACCAUCGCCCAGGGCAAGAUCAUCGAGAACUACGGCACGCUGGCGGGAAACAUCUUCCUCUGCAUCUUCCUGCUCAUUGGCACGGUCAUAACUGGUUUGAUCAAGUCGGACCUGCGCCGGCAAAACGCCAAUCUCCUGGCCAAAGAAGAAGCGGAGGGGAAGACGCCGGGUCAAGACUACGGAGCCACGGCGUUGCUAUCCAAGCCAGAGACUCCGCCCCUUUCCCAACUCUGACCAAUCAAACCUUGCACUCAAAUCUCAAAUCUUUGCGCAGCAGACCCAUGCACAAAGGGAAGGAUGGAGAACGAAGGUGUGUCGGAGCCCAUUGUCAUCAGUGAAGCCAGGAUCUAGACACCGACUCACGAAGCGCUAGUUACAGUGUAACUACUCAAGAUGUUUUGAAAUUGUCAAGUGUUAGUGGUGAAACGAAGCAUGUAAAUACAAAUGAACGAAGCUGAUGCUGUGAACUGGCCAGCAGACACUACGCCUCCAGUACUACUGCCCUUAUGAAGCCACCGUCACUGUGCACAGAUCUACAUUGGAAGCAAUGUAUCCACUCUGAUUCCUCCACCCCAGAACAAUACGUGCCAGCUUUUUAAAAAAAUGUUUUUAAACGUUUUCUAAAAUGUUUUCAAUGAACUAUAAGCACAACUAAGGGACAUGAUUGAAGAUGGUUUGUUUCUCUUCUAACACGGAAUAAAGUUUUGAUGAUACGCGCUGGCUUUAAAUGAUGCACUUGUAUCGUUUGACCACACGGUGGCGACCGUGUCACAGUAACGCCUCCAGCUGACUGCGCGUCCUGCUGUCGCAUCAAACCGCCUGCAUCAAUCCAGCGAAGACUUGUGUUUAUGAAUCACUGCUCUGAAUAAAUGG